rnacentral:rRNA from 1 species
UAGGGAAUCUUCGGCAAUGGGGACAACCCUGACCGAGCAACGCCGCGUGAGUGAAGAAGGUUUUCGGCUCGUAAAGCUCUGUUGUAAGAGAAGAACGUGUGUGAGAGUGGAAAGUUCACACAGUGACGGUAACUUACCAGAAAGGGACGGCUAACUACGUGCCAGCAGCCGCGGUAAUACGUAGGUCCCGAGCGUUGUCCGGAUUUAUUGGGCGUAAAGCGAGCGCAGGCGGUUUAAUAAGUCUGAAGUUAAAGGCAGUGGCUUAACCAUUGUUCGCUUUGGAAACUGUUAAACUUGAGUGCAGAAGGGGAGAGUGGAAUUCCAUGUGUAGCGGUGAAAUGCGUAGAUAUAUGGAGGAACACCGGUGGCGAAAGCGGCUCUCUGGUCUGUAACUGACGCUGAGGCUCGAAAGCGUGGGGAGCAAACAGG